rnacentral:lncRNA from 7 species
GGCAUGGCCUUGCUCAGCAAGGGAGGAAAAGCGUGAAGGGCACGAGAAGGGGACAGAGAAGGGCAGGCAGUAGGCGUGAAGCUGUGAGCAGAGUAGAGAGCAACUUGGCAGAGCAGCACGCAGAGUAGGCAAGUGUUGGGGUUUGGCGUGAGUAGCAGCAAAAGCCCAUAGCAUCAAGGAGCAGGAAGUGAGGAGAAGGUAAGUGAAGGGCAGGCAAGGUACUGGGAGGCAAAGGCAAGGGGAAAGGGGAGGGUAAGGGAGAAAAGAGGGGAUGGGGAGGGGAGGGGAUGGGUGAAGAGCAGAGCGGAGGGAAGGGCUGAGGGGAGGGCUGAAGGCAAACCUAUGAUGAAAAAAGAAAAGAAAAGAAAAAAUAAGAACAAAAAAUAUGAAAAAAGAGAAAAAAGAAAAGAAAAAUAAGAAAAAGAGAAAAAAUGAAAAAAAAAAGAAAAAUGAAUGAAAAAGAGAAAAAAGAUAAAAGACAAAAGAAAAUGAACAAAAGACAAAAAAGAGAAAAGAAAGAAAGAAAAUGAACAAAAAAGAAAAAGAGAAAUAACAAAAAAGAAAAAAAUAAAAAGAAGAAAGAAAAAGAAAAAAAAUAAAAAGAGAAAAGAGAAAAUAUGAAAAAAAGAAAAAGGAAAAGAAAAAAACUAAUAGAUGAAAACAGAAAAAGCAUACAAAAAAACGAAUAAUGACAAGAGAAGAAAGGUAAAGAGAAAAGAAGAAAAAAGCCAAGUGAAAAAGUAAAGAAUAACUCAAAGGAAGGAGUGGAUGGCAAGAAAUACAGAGAAGCAUGCAUAGCAGAGCAAAGGAAAGCAAGGCAAAAUAGCAGCCAAAGCCACGAGAAUCAAGAAGUCAGUGAAGAGCAGGAAAGGAAUGGAGGACUCUGGCCAGAGCUGUGCCCCUGCUUGCCACAGGAGCUGCGCGGGAGGAGAAGAAUGUGGGCCAAAGGUAAGAGGAAGCUCCUUUGGGUUCUGGGCUUGAAGCAAAGCUGAGAAGCCAUGCCCGGGAGGAGGUGUGGGUAGCUAACAGGCCAGCUUGCUAUCUCCCCAAGAGAUAGGCGGUGUGUGGGCUGUAGGCACCGGGGCAGGAGUGCUGGCCAGAAGCAAGCAUCUCUGUGGAGGAAGGCAAAGGGCGGAG